rnacentral:rRNA from 1 species
GAUCUGCGGAAGGAUCAUUG